UACGUAGGGGGCAAGCGUUGUCCGGAUUUAUUGGGCGUAAAGGGCGCGUAGGCGGCUUUGCAAGUGACGGGUGGAAUCCCUCGGCUUAACCGAGGAACUGCCUGUCAGACUGCAUGGCUUGAGACCGGGAGAGGUGACUGGAAUUUACGGUGUAGCGGUGAAAUGCGUAGAUAUCGUAAGGAAGACCAGUGGCGAAGGCGGGUCUCUGGACAGUUCCUGACGCUGAGGCACGAAGGUCAGGGGAGCAAACGGG
rnacentral:rRNA from 1 species